GACCCUGUAGCGCAAUGGAUAGCCCGCUGGACUUCUAAUCCAAAGGUGUCAUGGGUUUGAAUCCCACCUGGGUUG